rnacentral:rRNA from 1 species
GACGAACGCUGGCGGCGUGCCUAAUACAUGCAAGUCGAGCGAAGUUUUUCUGUUGCUUGCACUAGAAAAACUUAGCGGCGAACGGGUGAGUAACACGUAAAGAACCUGCCUCAUAGACUGGGACAACUAUUGGAAACGAUAGCUAAUACCGGAUAACAGUAUUUCUCGCAUGAGAGAUAUUUAAAAGUUGGUUAUGCUAACACUAUGAGAUGGCUUUGCGGUGCAUUAGCUAGUUGGUGGGGUAAAGGCCCACCAAGGCGACGAUGCAUAGCCGACCUGAGAGGGUGAUAGGCCACACUGGGACUGAGACACGGCCCAGACUCCUACGGGAGGCAGCAGUAGGGAAUCUUCCGCAAUGGGCGAAAGCCUGACGGAGCAACGCCGCGUGAGUGAAGAAGGAUUUCGGUUCGUAAAGCUCUGUUGUUAGGGAAGAAUGGAUAUGUAGUAACUAUACAUGUAAGAGACGGUACCUAACCAGAAAGCCACGGCUAACUACGUG